GGGCAGCCCCGCCAGGCGGGGACCUGGCCGCCGGUGAAAUACCACUACUCUGAUUGUUUUUUCACUUACCUGGUGAGGCGGGGGGGCGAGCCCCAAGGGGGGCUCUCACUUCUGGUGCCAAGCGCGCGACCCGCUCCGGGGACAGCGGCAGGUGGGGAGUUUGACUGGGGCAGUACACCUGUCAAAGCGUAAUGCAGGUGUCCUAGAGUGAGCUCAGGGAGGACGGAAACCUCCCGUGGAGCAGAAGGGCAAAAGCUCGCUUGAUCUUGAUUUUCAGUAUGAAUACAGACCGUGAAAGCAGGGACUCACAAUCCUUCUGGCUUUUUGGGUUUUCAGCAGGAGGUGUCAGAAAAGUUACCACAGGGAUAACUGGCUUGUAGCGGCCAAGCAUU